rnacentral:siRNA from 1 species
GGAUGUUGUAUGCAAGGUCAGAU